UACGUAGGGUGCGAAGCGUUGUCCGGAAUUAUUGGGCGUAAAGGGCUCGUAGGCGGUUUGUCGCGUCGGGAGUGAAAUCCACUGGCUUAACUGGUGGCUUGCUUUCGAUACGGGCAGACUGGAGGUAUGCAGGGGAGAACGGAAUUCCUGGUGUAGCGGUGAAAUGCGCAGAUAUCAGGGGGAACACCGGUGGCGAAGGCGGUUCUCUGGGCAUGUCCUGACGCUGAGGAGCGAAAGUGUGGGGAGGCGAACAGG
rnacentral:rRNA from 1 species